CCUACGGGAGGCAGCAGUGGGGGAUAUUGCACAAUGGGGGAAACCCUGAUGCAGCGACGCCGCGUGGGUGAAGAAGCGCCUCGGCGCGUAAAGCCCUGUCAGCAGGGAAGAAAAUGACGGUACCUGAAGAAGAAGCCCCGGCUAACUACGUGCCAGCAGCCGCGGUAAUACGUAGGGGGCAAGCGUUAUCCGGAUGUACUGGGUGUAAAGGGGGCGCAGACGGCGAUGCAGUCCAGGAGUGAAAGCCCGGGGCCCAACCCCGGGACUGCUCUUGGAACUGCGUGGCUAGAGUGCAGGAGGGGCAGGCGGAAUUCCUGGUGUAGCGGUGAAAUGCGUAGAUAUCAGGAGGAACACCGGUGGCGAAGGCGGCCUGCUGGACUGCAACUGACGUUGAGGCCCGAAAGCGUGGGGAGCAAACAGGAUUAGAUACCCCAGUAGUC
rnacentral:rRNA from 1 species